rnacentral:rRNA from 1 species
UAGGGAAUCUUCGGCAAUGGACGAAAGUCUGACCGAGCAACGCCGCGUGAGUGAAGAAGGUUUUCGGAUCGUAAAACUCUGUUGUUAGAGAAGAACAAGGACGUUAGUAACUGAACGUCCCCUGACGGUAUCUAACCAGAAAGCCACGGCUAACUACGUGCCAGCAGCCGCGGUAAUACGUAGGUGGCAAGCGUUGUCCGGCUUUAUUGGGCGUAAAGCGAGCGCAGGCGGUUUCUUAAGUCUGAUGUGAAAGCCCCCGGCUCAACCGGGGAGGGUCAUUGGAAACUGGGAGACUUGAGUGCAGAAGAGGAGAGUGGAAUUCCAUGUGUAGCGGUGAAAUGCGUAGAUAUAUGGAGGAACACCAGUGGCGAAGGCGGCUCUCUGGUCUGUAACUGACGCUGAGGCUCGAAAGCGUGGGGAGCAAACA